rnacentral:sRNA from 1 species
AGAUACCCCCGGAGCUCCAGCCGCGCGGCUCGCGCGCUCCCGCCGCUCUGCCCCUAAACUUCUGCCGCAGUUCCCUUUCAAGCCAGCGAAUUUAUUCCUUAAAACCAGAAACUGAACCUCGGCACGGGAAAGGAGUCCGCGGAGGAGCAAAACCACAGCAGAGCAAGAAGAGCUUCAGAGAGCACCCAUCCCGGAGCACCAACUCCGUGUCGGGAGUGCAGAAACCAACAAGUGAGAGGGCGCCGCGUUCCCGGGGCGCAGCUGCGGGCGGCGGGAGCAGGCGCAGGAGGAGGAAGCGAGCGCCCCCGAGCCCCGAGCCCGAGUCUCCGAGCCCGAGCCGCAGUCGCUGCGGCUACUCUGCUCCGGAUUCGUGUGCGCGGGCUGCGCCGAGCGCUGGGCAGGAGGCUUCGUUUUGCCCUGGUUGCAAGCGGCGGCUGGGAGCAGCCGGUCCCUGGGGAAUAUGCGGCGCGCGUGGAUCCUGCUCACCUUGGGCUUGGUGGCCUGCGUGUCGGCGGAGUCGAUAAGGAAAAAAACCCCACUCUGAUUCUAAAACCUGCUGGAAUU